GACGAACGCUGGCGGCGUGCUUAACACAUGCAAGUCGAACGGAAAGGCCCUUCGGGGUACUCGAGCGGCGAACGGGUGAGUAACACGUGGGUGAUCUGCCCUGCACUUUGGGAUAAGCCUGGGAAACUGGGUCUAAUACCGAAUAGGACCACGCGCUUCAUGGUGUGUGGUGGAAAGCUUUUGCGGUGUGGGAUGGGCCCGCGGCCUAUCAGCUUGUUGGUGGGGUAAUGGCCUACCAAGGCGACGACGGGUAGCCGGCCUGAGAGGGUGACCGGCCACACUGGGACUGAGAUACGGCCCAGACUCCUACGGGAGGCAGCAGUGGGGAAUAUUGCACAAUGGGCGCAAGCCUGAUGCAGCGACGCCGCGUGAGGGAUGACGGCCUUCGGGUUGUAAACCUCUUUCACCAGGGACGAAGCGUAAGUGACGGUACCUGGAGAAGAAGCACCGGCCAACUACGUG
rnacentral:rRNA from 1 species